rnacentral:rRNA from 1 species
CCUACGUGUGGCAGCAGUGAGGAAUAUUGGUCAAUGGGCGCGAGCCUGAACCAGCCAAGUAGCGUGAAGGAUGACUGCCCUACGGGUUGUAAACUUCUUUUAUAAAGGAAUAAAGUGAGGCACGUGUGCCUUUUUGUAUGUACUUUAUGAAUAAGGAUCGGCUAACUCCGUGCCAGCAGCCGCGGUAAUACGGAGGAUCCGAGCGUUAGCCGGAUUUAUUGGGUUUACAGGGUGCGUAGAUGGGUUGUUAAGUCAGUUGUGAAAGUUUGCGGCUCAACCGUAAAAUUGCAAUUGAUACUGGCAGUCUUGAGUACAGUUGAGGUAGGCGGAAUGCGGGGUGUAGCGGUGAAAUGCUUAGAUAUCACGAAGAACUCCGAUUGCGAAGGCAGCUUACUAAACUGCCACUGACAUUGAUGCUCGAAAGUGUGGGUAUCAAACAGGAUUAGAUACCCUUGUAGUC